UGGCGAAGGCGACUCUCUGGUCUGUAACUGACGCUGAGGAGCGAAAGCGUGGGGAGCGAACAGGAUUAGAUACCCUGGUAGUCCACGCCGUAAACGAUGAGUGCUAAGUGUUAGGGGGUUUCCGCCCCUUAGUGCUGCAGCUAACGCAUUAAGCACUCCGCCUGGGGAGUACGGUCGCAAGACUGAAACUCAAAGGAAUUGACGGGGGCCCGCACAAGCGGUGGAGCAUGUGGUUUAAUUCGAAGCAACGCGAAGAACCUUACCAGGUCUUGACAUCCUCUGACAAUCCUAGAGAUAGGACGUCCCCUUCGGGGGCAGAGUGACAGGUGGUGCAUGGUUGUCGUCAGCUCGUGUCGUGAGAUGUUGGGUUAAGUCCCGCAACGAGCGCAACCCUUGAUCUUAGUUGCCAGCAUUCAGUUGGGCACUCUAAGGUGACUGCCGGUGACAAACCGGAGGAAGGUGGGGAUGACGUCAAAUCAUCAUGCCCCUUAUGACCUGGGCUACACACGUGCUACAAUGGACAGAACAAAGGGCAGCGAAACCGCGAGGUUAAGCCAAUCCCACAAAUCUGUUCUCAGUUCGGAUCGCAGUCUGCAACUCGACUGCGUGAAGCUGGAAUCGC
rnacentral:rRNA from 1 species